rnacentral:rRNA from 1 species
AGAGUUUGAUCAUGGCUCAGGAUGAACGCUAGCGGCAGGCUUAACACAUGCAAGUCGAGGGGUAUGGUUCUUCGGAACCCAGAGACCGGCGCACGGGUGCGUAACGCGUAUGCAAUCUACCUUUUACAGAGGGAUAGCCCAGAGAAAUUUGGAUUAAUACCUCAUAGUAUAAUGACUCGGCAUCGAGAUAUUAUUAAAGUCACAACGGUAAAAGAUGAGCAUGCGUCCCAUUAGCUAGUUGGUAAGGUAACGGCUUACCAAGGCUACGAUGGGUAGGGGUCCUGAGAGGGAGAUCCCCCACACUGGUACUGAGACACGGACCAGACUCCUACGGGAGGCAGCAGUGAGGAAUAUUGGACAAUGGGCGCAAGCCUGAUCCAGCCAUGCCGCGUGCAGGAUGACGGUCCUAUGGAUUGUAAACUGCUUUUAUACGAGAAGAAACACUCCGACGUGUCGGAGCUUGACGGUAUCGUAAGAAUAAGGAUCGGCUACUCCGUGCCAGCAGCCGCGGUAAUACGGAGGAUCCAAGCGUUAUCCGGAAUCAUUGGGUUUAAAGGGUCCGUAGGCGGUUUAAUAAGUCAGUGGUGAAAGCCCAUCGCUCAACGGUGGAACGGCCAUUGAUACUGUUAAACUUGAAUUAUUAGGAAGUAACUAGAAUAUGUAGUGUAGCGGUGAAAUGCUUAGAGAUUACAUGGAAUACCAAUUGCGAAGGCAGGUUACUACUAAUGGAUUGACGCUGAUGGACGAAAGCGUGGGUAGCGAACAGGAUUAGAUACCCUAGUAGUCC